AUACGUAGGGCGCGAGCGUUGUCCGGAAUUAUUGGGCGUAAAGAGCUCGUAGGUGGUUCGUCGCGUCGUCUGUGAAAUUCCGGGGCUUAACUCCGGGCGUGCAGGCGAUACGGGCAUAACUUGAGUACUGUAGGGGAGACUGGAAUUCCUGGUGUAGCGGUGAAAUGCGCAGAUAUCAGGAGGAACACCGGUGGCGAAGGCGGUUCUCUGGGCAGUAACUGACGCUGAGGAGCGAAAGCAUGGGUAGCGAACAGGAUUAGAUACCCUGGUAGUCCAUGCCGUAAACGGUGGGCGCUAGGUGUAGGGGUCUUCCACGACUUCUGUGCCGUAGCUAACGCAUUAAGCGCCCCGCCUGGGGAGUACGGCCGCAAGGCUAAAACUCAAAGGAAUUGACGGGG
rnacentral:rRNA from 1 species